rnacentral:rRNA from 1 species
AUUGAACGCUGGCGGCGUGCCUAACACAUGCAAGUCGAGCGAAGACGGGGAGCUUGCUCCCUGGACUGAGCGGCGCACGGGUGAGUAACACGUGGAUGAUCUGCCCAUCAGUACGGGAUAACAGUUGGAAACGACUGCUAAUACCGGAUACGAUCCCUAUUCAACUUGGGGUGAAAGACGGCCUCUGCUUGCAUGCUGUCGCUGAUGGAUGAGUCCGCGGCUCAUUAGGUAGUUGGUGGGGUAACGGCCCACCAAGCCAACGAUGAGUAGCCGGCCUGAGAGGGUAAUCGGCCACACUGGGACUGGAACACGGCCCAGACUCCUACGGGAGGCAGCAGUGGGGAAUAUUGCGCAAUGGGCGAAAGCCUGACGCAGCGACGCCGCGUGAGGGAUGAAGGCCUUCGGGUCGUAAACCUCUGUCAGGAGGGAAGAACCGCCAUGGUGCUAAUCAGCCAUGGUCUGACGGUACCUCCAAAGGAAGCACCGGCUAACUCCGUGCCAGCAGCCGCAGUAA